CAUGUGCAUUAUGUAUUUGUAAUUUCAUUUUUGCAUGAGAAGACGGAAAGAGAGAAAACUAUUCAUUACAGUACACACAAGGAACAACAUUAAAUAAAUCCACUUAGAUCAGAUAAAAGUAGCAAGCAGACAAAGACAAAUUCAACAUUGAACAAAAUUUUCAGUGCUGAUGGACAGAUACAGGUUCAGAAAUAUUCUUGGUGUAUUUUUGUUCUCAUGUGAUUUAGUAGUAACCCAGGAAAGUAUUUACAAGAGUUUAGGAUCUUCAGUCAAGCUGGUUUGUCCCAUCGUAAAAACUGCUCGGACUAUUACUUGGCUUGGACCACCGAAUCUUAAAGUAUACGCUGUAGGGACGGACGUAUCAGAAGAAUUUUCCACACGAAUGGAAAUCAAUGUAACUGCCAUAGAUAAAAAGUCUGUUCUACUUAUCCACCUUCUCACCAAAGACAAAAGUGGAAAAUUCAGAUGUAGUAAUAUUCAUGAUAAAAGAGAAUUUAACUUAAUAA